AUACAAAACUCAUUAAUAUUCAUAAAAUUAUGGGUGCACCUGUACCUACAACUGUUUUACUGGCUUCGCCCCUGGUCAUAGACUACAAAUACUUAAAUAUGGAACUCAUAUAUUUUAUUGUUAAUCGUGUACUAUUGUACUGUAGCAUAUAUAACGUACGAGGUUAUAUUCUAGUAUUUAAAAAGUUCAAAAAGAAAGUUGUGAGUCAAAUCUUUGUCAAUCAGGAGUAAAUCACUAUCAAAAGGUCAAUAGUUAAUUCGUAAUAUAAACCAGCAGCGAUACUCACAUAUAUACCAUUUUCAUCUCAUAGAUAUGUUAAUUUAAAAAAUUUGAAAAAUGAUGUUUGGUAUAUAGGAUAUGACCUUUUGGUAACAUACCGUGGAUAUAUGUAUUGGUUAAUUAUGCUUAAUGUUAUGGAAAUAUUAAUUGUGUUCAAAGUGAAUUUCUCUUUAAUAUAGGUGAGAUGAAUACCAUUAAGUUGCCAUUAUUUUCUAGGUAUAUUCUAAAACAUAACUUGGUAUUUUAUUUAAAGCUGUCAUCUGCCCGGCAAAUCUCGCUCACAUAACAGGAAGAUCUUAUGUUUAUGGUUUCAAUACCAUAAUGUAUCAAUCUAGAUAAAUAAAAUUCUCAAAGUUGACAAAUAUUCUUUAGCAAUUUGAUCGUGUAUUCUAACUUCUCACACAUUAAGUACCUAUAUCGAUGAAUUAAUAUUAUAAAUCUUUGGCGUUAAUUCUCAGCGUGGUUCCUACUACAUGCUAUAUGAGCAAGUUAUGCAAUGCACCUUCUUUAUGUCUCAUUAAAUUUACUAUAUACAUUUUAUCCUACAUUAUAAUAUACAUGUUAAUAUUAUCAAUAAUGUAAUCUGCAAACUUUGUAUGAAUAUAUAAUGCACCUUGUUUUUUUAUAGUAGUUUCACCCCGCACCUUGUGCGUAUCUCUACCUAGUAUAAAUACUAUUUAGUUAUAUAAAUUUUUAGUCCAUGUAAAACGUGAAACUAUUUAUAUAUAUAUAUAUAUAAGUCUCUAAUCCUAAAGCGUGGAUCUAUAUCUAAUAAAGCAUGCGAAAGACAAAUGCUUUGUUGUCGAUUCAUAUGUACAGUAACAUUUUUUUCAUUGUUAGUCAACAAUUUUCGAUAUGGCUUUCAUGGUUAGUAGUCGUAAUCACAUAUCUUUCAUUGUUAGUCAAUUGUUUUGCUUCAAAUCUUUAUAAUAGUUUUUAAGUGGCAUGGUUAGCAAGUAUGAUGAUGACUUUUCAAAAUUUGUUUAGUAAUACUUUUUUUUUUCAUCUAGAAAUUAAAACUAUAUCAAUAUGAUCUGAAAUACGCAAGCCGGCAAGGACAGCUGCCUUCCGGAGCCAAGAGCCGGCAAGAAAUACAAUAUUGGCAGUUUUUAAAUUACAAGACAUGCAACACUGUUACAAUGUACCUGUAUAAAUUAUACAAGUCAGCUAAACAACUAAUGCUUAGCUGUCAUGAUAACAAUCUCCCAAACUUGAGUUUCUCAUGGGUGGUCGAGUUUGUCUGUAAUCCCUAAAGAAAUACAUAAUAAAUUUUAUAUAGCUUGCUUGUAGAAGUUAUUCUUUCUUUUCGUUCUAUAUUUUUUUCGGCAAAAUAUAAUUUUAUUAAUCUGGAGACAUUUCAGAUGAUCUAUAGAAAAAUAUGGACUAAUCCUUCAAAAAAGUAGAGUUUAUAGAUAAAUUUACUUUUUGAAUAUGUAAAUGAGCAUGUAAGUGUUUGAUGGAAUGUGUCGUUGUUCGAGCUUGUGUUGAUGUGUUGUGAUGUUGGUGUUGACGUUGCUUGUUGCUAUCAUCGGUGUGUAUUAAGUGUUGACGUAGUUGGUGAAAUGUACUUUAGAUAUUUGGAGGAUUGAAGGCUAAACUUCAGUUCAGGGUUAGGUAUCUUAAUAAAGUCUAAACUCUAGAGAAAUUUAGCUCCAAAUAAUUUGUCUUAAUAAAUUUAUACUAUUGAAUAAACCAGUGAUUUAAGAGGGGUUGUACUUGUAUUACAUGAUGUGUCUAAAUUAGUUAUAAUUUACUUUACUGGUCUAGUAGAUUUGAAAUAUAAAAGAAAUCCCAAAGAUUAAAAAUAAUCUAUGCUAACAAAUUUUAUGUGUCGGUUAAUUGUGCACUUUAUUUUUUCGACUCAUUUACACUUUGAAAAAUAAUAACAAACAAGAAUGUAUGAUGUGCCGUCAAUGUUAACAACUUAUGGAACAAAGAAGAUAAAAAAUCACAAACCUAUAAAUAGACAUACAUACAGAUUACAAAGCCUCAUGCAAUAAUAAUAAUAGAGCAAUAGAAAAAAAAACUAAAGAAACGAUAUGAUGUCAUCUUUGUCCACAACAUCUCUUCUCCCUCUUCUUCUUCUUUCUCUUUUGUGGGCGGUCCUCUCGGUUGACGCUUCUUUCCAGACACUUCCGCUGCCGAUACUUAUGUCCGGCCCUCAAUGUUUCGCCUUUAAUUCCACAGGAAAAGGAUUCUACACUGGAGUCUCCGGUGGUACAAUCCUCAAGAACUCUUUAUUGUGCUACGGUUUACAAGAACCCAUUUCCUCCAAAAAGUGCGGCAGACCGGCUGGGAUAGCCUUCAAUGAGAAAACAGGUGAUCUCUAUGUCGCCGAUGCUCUGUUGGGUCUUCACGUUGUUGUUAGUGCAGUGAGGUCAGAGUAAAAUGCAGAAUUUAAUAAGACACAAGUUUUUCUCUUUUCAAAGUCACUAGAACAAGAAAUUCUUACACCAAUCUUUUCUAUUA